rnacentral:rRNA from 1 species
CCUACGGGCGGCAGCAGUGGGGAAUAUUGGACAAUGGGGGGAACCCUGAUCCAGCGACGCCGCGUGAGUGAAGACGUAUUUCGGUAUGUAAAGCUCUAUCAGCAGGGAAGAAAAUGACGGUACCUGACUAAGAAGCCACGGCUAACUACGUGCCAGCAGCCGCGGUAAUACGUAGGGGGCAAGCGUUAUCCGGAUUUACUGGGGGUAAAGGGGGCGUAAACGGUGCCGCAAGUCUGAUGUGAAAGGUCGGGGCCCAACCCCUUGACUGCAGUGGAAACUGUUGAGCUGGAGUAGAGGAGAGGUAAGCGGAAUGCGUGGUGUAGCGGUGAAAUGCGUAGAUAUUAGGCGGAACACCAGUUGCGAAGGCAGCUUACUGGCCUCCAACUGACGUUGAGGCACGAAAGCGUGGGGAGCAAACAGGAUUAGAUACCCUUGUAGUC